rnacentral:tRNA from 1 species
GCCUCCUUGGCACAGUGGUAAUGCGUCUCACUCGUAAUGAGAAGAUCGACGGUUCGAUUCCGUCAGGAGGCA